UAUGUAUUCCGUUCAGAGGAUCGUUUCCAAGAAUUCUGUAAGUUACGCAGGAUCGGGUGAGAGUAGCAUACCUGCGCAAACCAGAUGCGCAGAAAGCGAGUUUCCCACCACGUGGUGUGGUGGUGUUUCUGUUUGUAAAUCGGUGUUUGUUGCUGGUCGCCGUCAGUCGGCCACUCGCUUUACGCGCGUUCACAGUCGUUGAUUGGCGCUGGUUCAGUCGAGUUGUUGUUUAGAAAAAGCUGAGUUUCUUCGUAAGUAACCGGUUGUAUUUGAUCGGGUAUCUGUUGGUCUAUAUAGUGGCGGAAUCGGUCAGCUACUUGUCAAAUCGCUUUCGCAUUCAGUGUCCUCUCGAGUAGCUAACUGUGUGGUUUACCAAUCAUACCCACCUCGGAUAGAAUCCUAUUGCUGGUUAGUGACACCAGUCGGCAUCCUAU